rnacentral:lncRNA from 1 species
GGGACACCAAUACCAAGGGUGCAAGGGAGCCUAGGUAGGCCUCUGUUGCUAAGGUCGCUUAAUCACUGUUGCUAAGCAAUCAGAGGAAGGAAUGUUGACCACCCCACCUGGAACUCAGGAGAGGCCCUUCACAAAGCAGCAGGAGAAGCUGAAUGGAGGAGAGCAUGGCGGUAAGUUUGCUUGUGUCCUCAUUAUUUAAUUUACACAAUGUGCUGCCUUUAAAGAUUAAAACAAAACUGGCUGGGUUUGGUAGGUUUUACUGAAAAGUAACUCACUUUGAAAAUAAAUGAGGGUUUUCCUCAGAAAGAAAUGGAAUAUUACAGUCCCCCACCUACUGAGCUUCCAUGUUCCCCACACAGCCACUACUGGUCUGUUUGUCUUAACUGGGAUGCUAUUUGUUAAUAUGCAGUAACCAUAAAGCAAAAAUAUAAAAUACAAAAUACAAAAUGUCUCCACAAAUGCAGCCACAAAAUAUCUGGACAUCGCAAAGCUGCCACAAGUUAAAAUGACUGUAUUUGAACACAAUAAUUUAUCUUUGUUUAUCAAGGUUGACAAAGUGUUUCCAAUAUAUAUUUCUAAGAGUUGUGAAACCGCACAUAGGUAAAGGGGACCCCUGACCAUUAGGUCCAGUCGCAGACGACUCUGGGGUUGUGGCGCUCAUCUCGCUUUACUAGCCGAGGGAGCACAGCUUCCGUGUCAUGUGGCCAGCAUGACUAAGCCGCUUCUGGCGAACCAGAGCAGCGCACGGAAACACCGUUUACCUUCCCGCAGGAGCGGUAACUAUUUAUCUACUUGCACUUUGACGUGCUUUCGAACUGCUAGGUUGGCAGGAGCAGGACCGAACAACAGGAGCUCACCCCGUCGCGGGGAUUCGAACCGCCAACCUUCUGAUCGGCAAGCCCUAGGCUCUGUGGUUUAACCCACAGCGCCACCCGCGUCCCCGUUGCUUAUUGUAUAUUCGUUGCUUAUUGUAUAUUUGUAUCUUGAUUUUCCUCCCAGACCUCAAGGUUGUGUAUAUUGUUAUCUCCACUCCCCCAUUUUGUCUUCACAACUGUGGGUUAGUAGUUCAGACACCAAAGCUGUGAAACUGAACAUACUUUUUUGCUUGUUGUUAUUUAUCAGCAUUGGAAAACUUUUUGUUUCUUUCUUUGGGUAUUUUGCUGUAAAUAUCAGGACUAAGAAACGUUGCAGGUAAAGCAAGGAGGCUGCUCUUCUGGCUUACCUUACAUGAUCUGUGAAUGACAUUACAUAAGAAUAUAAGAAAACUCUGGUGGACCAGGCCAAUGGCCCAUUUAGUCAAGCUUCCUGUUCUCACAUUGGCCAACCAAAUGCCUGAGAAGCCUGUAAGCUGGACCUGAAAGCAGUAACACCCUCCCCUCCUGUAGUUUCUAGCAACUGGUUUUCAGAAGUAUACCUCCUCUGAUGGUGGGAGCAGAGUACAGCCUUCAUGGCUCGUAGCCUCUGAUAGGCUUUUCCUCCACAAAUUUGUCUAAUCCUCCUUUAAAGACAUCUAAGUUGGACUGAAACAGACCCCUGUUUGAAACACUGGAAAGCUGCUGCCUGCCAGGCAUUGAGUUAGAUGAACCAAUGGUCUGGGUCAGUACUAGGCAGCAGCUUAUGUUCCGGUAUUUGUUCAAAAGGAGCUCCCAAAUAAUUGUUUUAAGAACACAAGAAGAGCCUGCUGGAUCAGGCCAACGGCUCAUUUAGUCCAGCAUCCUUGUUCUCAUAGAGGCCAGCCAAAUGUCUGUGGGAAGCACAAGAUUUAGUACAAUGCUGCUAAAAGGCCACUCAGUUCCAUAACACAUGGUAGCAGCCUGUUGAUGGGCACUUCCCCCUAACACAUACACACCUGAACCAAAAGAGAUCAUAAACGAACCCAAGUUGGAAAAAGUUAGAUGCUUCCAUACAAAAUAACACAGUUCCCAUCUUAAGAUAAGAAUGUAAGUGCAUGGAAGCCUCUGAACCCACAAGAACUCUCUACAUAAGAGUGAUGUUCUUGAUAGAUGGCUACUUCCUUCCCAUCAGUGGAAACUGACAGCUGCAGCUAUAACCUUUUCAGCACUCUUCUUUCAGUGGGAAACGGGGGACCUUCUCUCUCUCUCUCUCUCUCUCUCUCUCUCUCUCUCUCUCUCUCUGAAUUAAGGAGCUAUUCAAGAUUAGGAGGCUUUGUGGGCAAAAUGGGGCAGUGGCUUGGGGAGCAUUCUUUUGGGGGGAUCACACAUGGGGAGAAAAGGGGGGAACCAUCUAAUUCUCUACUCUGACGUUGAUCGGCACCUGCCAAACCUUUUUCCAUGCUUUUAUUAUUUUUAAGGAGAAUGAUCUUGUAAUAAGGGGGUGGGGGGCUGGAGGGUUACAUCUGGAGAGAGUUAAAUGCUGUGGCUUUGAGACAGCUGGAAUGCCGGCAACACGGAAGCUCCUUGUAUACAGCGAUGUUGUUUUCUUCGGGGAGAUUGCAGAAAGGAGCUGCUUCAUUUCAGUGAAGCCAGAUCUCGUGGAAAUUCCAUUGGCGAGUAUGUGAGAGCGUGGCAGAAUACAAAUCUGCUUUCUUUGGUCCCCUGGUGCAUCUUCUUUGAGUUCCAGUUCUGCCACGUGCCACUGCUAUGUUGCCCAUGAAGAACAGAUGCAAGGGUGGGGGUGGGGAUAUGGCAUUAAACAAUCCAACUGAUUUUAAUUAGGCUGAAAUAAUAAACUAUCAUCCUCCGAAUCAAGAAUGAUGGAUACACUCAAGCUGCGUGGAGAAAGUUGUCUUCAGCCUGCUUGAAAGAGCCAUGUUAGAAUGGUCUCCUUACCCUCCCCCAAAACAAUCACCUUUCCUACAUACCUAAGGGAUCCCAAUAAGUGUGUGUGUGUGUGUGUGUGUGUGUGUGUGUGUGAUCAUUUUCCUCCAAGGAGCUCAAGGGUAUACAGGGUUCUCCUCUCUGCAUUUUAUCCUCACAACAACCCUGUGAAGUAGAUUAGGUUUUUGAAAUACAGUGACUGGCCCAAAGUCACCUCAUGUGGGGCUUUGAACUCUGGUCUCUCAGCUCCUAGUCCAAAACUCUAACCAUUACACUGAACUGUGUAGGAACAGCAGCAGUGCAUGCAUGUGGCGGUGUCUUGCCAGUGGUGGUGCUGUGCUCAUUGGGAAGGAAAUGAAGCAGCAGCAUGGUGUGAGGGACUGUGGGGUGUUUGCAGCCCAAUAAGUGCAAAUGCCUGUGGGCUGCUACCCUGAAGCUCCCCCAACUUCACUGUUGCUGCAUCCCCAUAUCCCAGCCCCAUUCUGAUUAGCACAGCACCACCGUCAGAGGUGUGGCACUGUCUCCUCCUCUCCCUCCACACAAAAAAGCCUAAGAGAAAAAAUCUUAACUGGGCAGGGGGAAAUCCCAAAAUGUCCCAGUGAGGACUGAGCAUGCAAAGUGAGCAAUGACUGCUGAGCAUCUGUUCCAGAGGAACAAAAACUUAGAGAUAGGGCAAACUGAAUGGAGUAUCCUAGUGUUAUGUACUGAGCUGAAUAGGAUCCAAAAUGCAGCAGUCUGAUUGGUCCUAGAAUAACAGGAUUCAGAAUGUAGCAGUCUGAUUGGUCCUAGAACAAUAGGAUUCAGAAUGCAUCAGUCUGAUUGGUCCACAGGAGCCACUCAAUCCAGCUCCAGGUGGAAGUGAAUCCGCAACCUGAUUGGCCUACAGGAGAAUCCUGGAAUUAGCCAAUCACGUGGGGCCCAUUAUGUAAAUAAUGUAUAUAAAGCAGACAUUCUGGGGGAACUUCCAUUCCUCCUCACCACUAUGAGGUGCCUGGCAAGAACCUUGAAUGGGAAUAGUCCACACUGUAAUGUUUUGUUCCCUGCGUGUGGGCCUUUACGUGGCUCAAAUGGCAAAAACAUCCUGUCCAAAAAAGGACUUCCAUGUUUAUCUCUGAGUAUAAGAUACUGAAAAUAUGUGACGGGAGACGGGGAUUGCUUUGAUUAGGAAUGAGAGAGAAAGUUCACAUUUAAAGGCAUACAUAGCUAAUUCACACUAUACAAAGCAGUAGACAAAGUGAAAUACAGUACAAAUACACACUUCUCAGCAUUCUUCAAAUGCACUUCUCCUGCAAUGUAGUGUGUAAGUACAGAAAUGCACAUACUAGUGCCAGGUUUGUGUACAUACGCAUAUAUUAGUGAAAAUGGCUAACUAAAGUGCCUUAGGGUAGGGCAAGCUGCAUACCAAAAUGUGUGUAUCAGGAUAAAUUUGCACUAAAAUGCUAGUAGAUUUUCAUGAAACAGUUGUAGAAAUGUAGAAAACUGGGAAAAAAAGACUAGGCAAAUGAGAAACUGAGAGAACUGAAACUGAGAAAAACUGAGAGAACUGGGAGCAGAGCACAGCCUUUGUGGCUCGUAGCCUCUGUGAUGCCCUGCUUAUAUGCACCCUUAGACAUCUGGAUGGCUGGUGUUGGAAACAGGACAAUUUGCUAGAUAAACCCUUGAUCUGUUUCAGCAAGGAGCAUCUCGAUUAGGCUCCAUCCUCUCUCCACCACUCAGAAAUCUGGAAACAUCAAUAACUAGCAAAACCAAAGGAGAAAAGCAACCCCAAAAGUGACCUAAAUUGAAAAUCACAUUUUGGAGACGGAGUGGACGCACAGAGACCGCCUGCGUGAUAACCAUCGUCUCAGGAACACACAAACUCGCAAAACAUUAAAGCCCUGGCAAGUGUUUUAAGUGGUCUGCUCAAUAAAUGUGAACAUCCUGGCCCACAAUUAUUUCCAUAGGAAAAUAUUAUUUGGCCAGAGGGAGGCGGUGGGGGAAACAGCCCUCAGGGAUAAAUAUUGUUGCUUUGGAACAGGCCAGAAGGUAAUCAGAUAUUUUAUCAGGAGACAAGAAGAUGGCAAAAGUUCACCCUCCCAGAUGCUUGUAGGAAAGGGAUUGUGCUUGCUAAAUAAUCCCAAAUGGCUCCAGCAAGACACAUUCCAUAGGGUGGGAGUGGGGAACCCCAGGCCUGGGGAGCAAAUGCUGCCCCCCAGGCCUCUCUGUCUGGACUUCAGGACUCCCCUGGGCCAUACCGCUCACCAGCUCUGCUCAGUCUCCUCUCCCGGGUCUUUGGCUGGCUGAGGUGUGUCCCUGAAUUCUAAUAAAGCCUCUUGCUUGCGUGGAUGGGAGACAGAUCUACAAGUAUAAACAAUUUUACGAAGCUAGGCUUCCAUUCCCCAUCCACUGCUGGAAUGCAGCCCCCAGAAGGUUGCUCAUUAGGGAAUGUGGCUAUUGGGCUGUAGAAAAAGCUCUCCAUCCCUGCCCUAUAGAAAUAUGGAAAUCAUUGAACCUCACAUUUAUUUAUUUAUUUAAGCUUUUCGAAAUAGAAGCAUACAGGUUCCAUGUGGAAUUCUUUGCAUGCAGGUCAACAGAGAGGCCUCAUCCUCAAUGCAGGGCGCAGCUGAGUUUAUCUGAGCUAAACGAAGCUUCCCACGGAGGCCGCAUCAUCCAGGAGCAAAAGAUAGCCUGAAAUGCAUUUUCCUGCUGCUCUGCUGGCAUUAUCCCUGAUGGUGCAGAUAGGAAAAUUGGAAACCCUUGUGCGUUGUUUUUUUCCGGAGGCAGUGUUAGUAAAUUUCAAAAAUCCCACUUGUGGAGAGAUCCGUGACUUGGAGCAUGGGAGGCAGAUUGAGAGUAUAUGGGUGAAAAUUGUAGGAGGGGGAAACAACGGUAACCUUACUGUGGGUGUCUGCUAUAGACCCCCAAGCCAGACUGAAGACUUGGAUGGUGCCUUCCUAGAGCAGAUUACCAAACAAUUAAAAAGGAGGGAUUUAAUAGUCAUGAGAGACUUCAGGUACCCUGAUAUCUGUUGCAACUCUGCCAAGAAUGUAAGGUCCAACAAAUUCCUCAGUUGCCUCACUGACUAUUUCAUUUCCCAGAAUUUGGAAGAAGCAACAAGGGGGUCAUCUCUCUGGGACAUGGUCCUCACUAAUGAGAGGAACUGAUUGACAAAGUGAAAGUACUGGGAACCUUGGGACGAAGCAAUUUUGCUCUCUUGGAUUUUGUUAUACAGAGGCAAGGGGAAGCUGAGUGUAGUCAGACAUGCACACUGGACUUUAAGAAAUUAUUUCAAAAAAAGUUUAAGGAACUACUGGAUGAGAUCCCAUGGUCAGAAAUACUCAAAGAGAAGGGAUGGAGUCUUCUUAAAGGUGAAAUAUUGAAGGCACAAAGGCAGGCAAUCCCAAGAAGAAAGAAAAGUGGGAAGCGCCUAAAGAAACUGGUGUGGCUACAUAAGGAGCUUACAGACGAGCUGAGAUGUAAAAAUGUCAUGUAUAAGAAACGGAAGUAUAUACACAAGCAGCCAACACUUGCAAGAAGAAGGGUUCCCUUGCAGCUCUGCAAUUCUAUGAUUCUUUGUUAGUCUGCUAUAUAUCUCUCUGAACACAGCUGUACCCAGGAAGAAGGCUCUACUCAGGAGGAGGGGAAAGACCCACCUUCAACCAAUUACCCAUCAGAAGACCAGGUAGAGGAGGAGCUGCUUUAGCCUUACAGUCUCAUGUAGACCUUUUAUUGGGGCUGGAUCUAUACAGGAUUAAAAAAAAAAACACUACAGAAAAAAAACACUAUAAAAGCUCUUAAUGGAAAAUCCCAUUGGCUCUACAGUGCCAUCUGGCGUCGCAUGAUUAUAACGCAGUUAUAAUGAUAUAAUUGAGGAGUGUGGAUGAGUCUCGGGUUAACAGCUCUCCUCCAACAGCCAUUAAAAGUUGGGGUAUGUAUGUAUGUAUGUAUGAGUAAAUAAAUAAAGAACAUUGUUAUUUUAAAAAACAAUACUUUGAGUUCCAGACCAGGGUGGCACAGACGUGCCUUUCCAGGUUCAGCCUGAAGGCAUGCAUGCUGAUAUACAUUUCCAAAGUCCUCAUCCACCUGUGUCAACGUACUGGACUUCAACCAUUGCCUGUUGAAGUCUGGCUAUUGUCCUUCCCCAAAUCUGCAAAGCCUGGCUCCAUCAUCUGUUCAUCAAAAUCCAUCUUUUCCAGAGUUGGGCAGAAUCCCUUUUCCGUAACUGAACCAUCCAUAGAUCCUGGCUGAUGUCCUGAAGUAGCUGGAAAGCUGCAUUAGGAUAUCCAAAGAUUCAUCCUGGCCUGGAAAGACAGGAAGCAGUCUGGAAAGGAGAACUUGUACGGGGUUUGGCUUUAUCUUUGCAUGGUGUUCCAGGUAAUUAAACUCUCCUGCCUCUUCAGUGUUUCCGAGUUCAGCAGGACACAGCGCAGCAGGAGAAAUGGAUGGUUUUAAGACAGUAUGAUAGAUAGCUGCUUUUUCUAACCAUUUUAUUAAUAUCGUAGUAAUAAUAAAAAUAAUAAUAAUAAUAAUAAUAAUAAUAAAAUUUUAUUUACACCCUGCCCUUCCCAGUUCAGGGCGGCUAACAACAAAUUUAAAACACUUAAUUAUAAAAGCAGCAUAAAAUACAGUAUAAAAACAUGAAUAACAAUAAAAAUCAAAAUUCAAAAAUCAAUUUAGGGGAAAUAAGCAUUAGAUAAUCCCCAGGGCUAGCUGGCUGAAUUGGUCCUACUUGGGCCAGUGAGGAGGCCAGGGGAGAAUUAGCUGUGGGGUCUCAGAGCGGGUGAUCUUCAUAAAUGGGGAGGGGGAGGGAAGAGAAGGGAAAUAAAAGAUCAGGCUGAAUUCAAAUUAAAGGCCAGGCGGAAUAGCUCUGUCUUACAGGCCCGACAGAAGGAGGUUAAAUCCUGAAGGGCCCUAGUCUCAUGGGACAGAGCAUUCCACCAGGUCGGCGCCAUCACUGAAAAGGUCGGAGCCAUCACUGGUGGAGGAUAGUCUGACUUCCUUAGGGCCCGGGACCUCUAAACUAUGGUUAUUCAUGGACCUUAAGGUCCUCUGCGGGACAUACCAGGAGAGGCGGUCCCAUAGAUACGAGGGCCCUAAGCCACAAAGGGCUUUAAAGGUCAAGACCAGCGCCUUGAUCCUGACCCUAUACUCCACUGUGAGCCAGUGCAACUGGUAAAGCACUGGGUGAAUAUGCUCCCAUGGCAGGGACCCCAUGAGGAGCCUCUCUGCAGCAUUCUGCACCCGCUAGAGUUUGUGGGACAGUUUCAAGGGCAGCCCUGCGUAGAGCAAAUUACAGUAGUCAAGCCUGGAGGUGACCCGUUGCAUGGAUUACUGUGACCAGUUCGGGGCGGGAAAGGUAAGGGACCAACUGCUUAAUGCUGCAAAGAUGGAAAAAUGUCGCCUUAGCUGUUCUGUAACCUGCUGUAACCAUUAUAUCAUCUAUGAUGACAACAUAGUAGUAGACCCUGAUGGAAUUCAUACAUAAUCAUCUUUGAUUAUGUAAAAAGAGAAUAUCUACAGAGAAUAUAUUGUUGCAUUGUGUGUGUGUGUGUGUGUGUGUGUGUGCGCGUGUGCGCGCACACACGCGCACGCACGCACACGUGCAGAUAUUUAUUUUUCUUACCACCUGUGAUUCCUACUACUAGUAUGAUGGUAACAAGAUGCGGUAUGAGUUAGGGAUAGGGAGAAAUUUGAUCCCGUUCACAUUUAAAGGAGAACGUAACCUAUCUCACACUUUCUGAAAAAAAUGCACACUGAGGGCUGUCCUUCAAAACUCACUCAUCUGAAUUUUGCAAUGCGAUUCUCCAGCCAAUAUGUGCAAAACUGGGGUAAAGUAUGCAUAUAAGUGCAUAUGUUAGUGAAAAUAAGAUGCAAAAUGCAUUAUACUGAUGAAAAUUUAUUUGCAAAAAAGUGUAUACAGUGGUACCUCGGGUUACAUACGCUUCAGGUUACAGACGCUUCAGGUUACAGACUCCGCUAACCCAGAAAUAGUGCUUCAGGUUAAGAACUUUGCUUCAGGAUGAGAACAGAAAUCGUGCUCUGGUGGCGCAGUGGCAGCAGGAGGCCCCAUUAGCUAAAGUGGUGCUUCAGGUUAAGAAAAGUUUCAGGUUAAGAACGGACCUCCGGAACGAAUUAAGUACUUAACCCAAGGUACCACUGUAUUAGGGAAGCAGUGCACUAAAAUGCUUAUGAUUUUUCAGGAGGUUUUUUUAAAUAAAAAAAAUCAUGAUAUGAUAUGCAAAUGGCUUUGGGGGUAUUGGUUUGUUUUUUUUCUUUUUUAUUAUGUAUUUUGUGUGCUCAUUUUGCAUUUUUAUGUUGUGAACCACCCUAUGAUCUUCAGGUGAAGGGCAGUGUACAAAUUAAAUAAAUAAUAAUAAUAAAUGCAUUACAUUAAGCAAAAGUGCUUUCAACAUGCAUAUAUUAAAGCAAAAAAUGUGUAUGAAAGUGGCAUAUAUUAGGAUAAAUGUGCUUGAAAAUGCAUAUUAAUAUUUGACACUGGUGCUUUUUAAAAAAAAAAUCAAACUAAUUCAGAAAUGGAGUGAUCUGAAGAAAAAGUUGGAAAAAUGAGAAGACACGAAAGCAUUAAUUGAUUGAUUUGACCAUCCUUGUUUUGUACCUAGUCAUUUCCUGUGAGGCCAGCAAAUCUCUAGAAGGAGCACAGUAAACAUCCAAUACAGAUUAGUAUCCUCAGCAAUGCACAAGGGAAGACCCCGACUCCCCCAGGGAGGAAUCUAUUUUCACAGCAGAAUGGAGUGACUUUGUAGGAUGGUUUCCUGUUGAGUUCAUAGUCUGUGCAGGGUGUUGGGGCACUGAACGUGCCUGCAAGGAAGUUAGCUCUGCAGCUUUGCUUUUAGUUUUGACCAUAAAUGUCUCUCCAAACCUGGACAAAAGUAAAAGAAAAAAAUGUGUCAUGAAAAAUGAGGGAAGAUAAGGUUUUUUUAAAAAAAUUAUUUAUUUCCAAAAGAUGGGAGAAAUACUCCCUCCUGCAAAGUGUCAGCAGCGGGACAUCUGCAUUAUGUUGGUUUCUUACAACAAUCUAUUCUAACAUCCAUGUGAGACAAUUAAAGGUAAUAAAUCAUAAAGCCUUUCUUGGUUUUAAAGAUCCCAGAUGCUCUGAAAGACAUAAAAAUCUAGAUGUCUCAUCCCACCUUAGAUUUUGUGUCAGCACUUGGCAGAUUUAAGUUUGAAAAGAUAGCAGAGGUCCUUCAAAUGCCAACAGAGCAGGUUUUCUCAGAUUAGUCAUAAUACCAGUGGAAAUGUGUUUUUUUUGGGGGGGGCAGUUGAAGGAUAGGCAUGUAUAUAACAUUUACGGUAUUCUUGACUGAUGAACUCUUUUAUGCAUACAUUUGCCUAAUAAAGAAAUCCUCUUUUUUCAAAAAUCAAAUCGUAAAUUGCAAGAUAGCUGUAUAGAAAAGGCGUAAGGAAAGUCAGAAUUGCUGGUUAAUGUUUAUUCAUUCCUUCUCUAGGACAUGUUUCAUAAAAGACUGCAUCUGUACUGGAAGCAGCUUACAGUAAAAUAUCACACACAAUCUCACAUACCCAAAUAAAGUGCAUUUUAAAAUUAUGAAAGGCAAAUGAACGAUUAAAUGUUUCUGCACUUCCUGUAUGCAUUCUAUAAAUACCCUCGUAGAAUUGCAGAGUUGGAAGGGACCCUGAGGGUCAUUUAAUCCAAUCCUCGGCAAUGCAGGGAUCUCAAAGCAUUCGUAACAAAUGGCCAUCCAACCUCUACUUAAAAGCCUCCAAGUUAGGAAAGUCCACCACCUCUCGUGGGUCUCUGUUGUGGUCAAACAGUUCUUACUGUCAAAAAGUUGUUCCUGAUGUUUACACAGAAAUAGUACCUCGGGUUAAGAACUUUGCUUCAGGAUGAGAACAGAAAUCGCGCGGCAGUGGCACAGUGGCAGCGGGAGGCCCCAUUAGCUAAAGUGGUGCUUCAGGUUAAGAACAGUUUCAGGUUAAGAACAGACCUCCAGAACGAAUUAAGUUCUUAACCAGAGGUACAACUGUAGUUGGAAUUUCUUUUAUUGUAACUUGAAUCCAUUGGUUUGGGUUCUAGCCUCUGGAGCAGGAGAAAACAAGCUUGCUCCAUCCUCCGUGUGACAGCCCUUUAGAUAUUAGAAGAUGGCUAUCAUAUCUCCUCUCAGUCUCCUCCUUUCCAGGCUAAAUAUACCCAGCUCCUUCAACUGUUCCUCAUAAGGUUUGGUUUCCACACCCUUGAUUAUUUUGGUCGCCCUCCACUGCACACAUUCCAGCUGGCCAAUAUCCUUCUUAAAUUGGGCGCAGCUCAUCAGGCCUAGAGAUUUGAAUUCAUUUCAAGUAGUUUAGUGUUCCAGGAAUGGAUUCCAGUGCUUCCAGACCCCAAUUCCACUGAGGGAAAUGGAUUUCAGUGGGGAAGGCCACUUGCUUAAUGUUGGCUAUUGUCUAAUUGAAUUUACAGUGGUACCUCGGGUUAAGAACUUAAUUCAUUCCUGAGGUCUGUUCUUAACCUGAAACUGUUCUUAGCCUGAGGUACCACUUUAGCUAAUGGGGCUCCCACUGCCGCCGCACCGCAUCCUGUUCUCAUCCUGAAGCAAAGUUCUUAACCCGAGGUACUAUUUCUGGGUUAGCGGAGUCUGUAACCUGAAGCGUCUGUAACCUAAAGCAUAUGUAACCUGAGGUACUACUGUACUUAGCUUAUACAUAGGAUUGUGUUGUAAUUUAUUGUAUUUUUAAAAUGUAGAUUUGUGGAACUCGCCAGUAGUGGCUAGAAUAGUGGACUAGGACCUGGGAGACCAGGGUUCAAAUCUCCACUCCACCUUGGGCCAGCCACUCAACCUCACAGGGUUGUUGGGGGAAGGCUGCACUAGGCUGCAUCCUUGGCGAGUUGGCAACUACUUUAUCACUGUGGCCCUACUUAAACUUGCAGAUGCAGUCGCAGAGAUGGUCGCCUGCAUUUACAGCUGAGUUCCCACAAGCUUUCCUCCAUACCUCUGUCCACCUAUGUGCAUGAGAGUGCACUGAGGAAUUUGGCUGUGCAAAACAGCUCCUUUUGCCUCACAGGGCAGAGGGGCCCCCAAAGCCCUCCAGGAAGCAUAUCUUAGAUGCAUGUUUGAGAACAUCAAGCGGGAACUGAUUGUAAGCCCUGGAGCACAAAACCUAUUGAUUUAGCCACAUGGGGUUUCUGAACCAAAUUGUUCCCAAAUGCUGAUCUUUCUUCCACCCACUCAUAAAGAGUUAAAGACAUUUCCCACAUGUUAGAGGGAACUCAAGGACAGAGAGAGAGAGAGAGAGAGAGAGAGAGAGAGAGACCCUCUCAGAGCUCUUCAGAAAUGUUUUCUCCCUUGGAAAAUUCUAGUAAACAAAAUAAUUGCAAUAAUAAAAGAAAUAUUCUCUUCAUUCUCCUUUUGAUGGGAGAUGGAGCUUCGUGAUAUAAAUGUGAGUUGCAUAUAAUAUGCCAUUAAAACUGUUUUACAUUCUCUUGCAAGUUCCAGCAAAUAUGUCCACUUUACACACAAAGAGAGGAAUUUCUGAGGCUUGCAUUGUUGACUCUUUCCAUAUGGAAUAUGUAUAAAUGUGUAAAGAAACCCAUAUAUGCUUCAUUUUGACUUGGGACACAAGAAACAACUCACUAUUGAGCUUACAGGAGAUGGAUGUUGAUGUGUUCCGUGCAGAUUAUUAGUGGUCUUUGGCUCUGAAACAACCUCAGCUUAGGUCAUAGCCAAGGACAAAAAUAGCUCAUAAAAUAUGGCAUGCCCUCACCAGGUCCAUUUAUCUUCUGAGCAUCAGGUUGCUGCAUUUACUGUAGCAUAAAUGCCUGGUUUCAAAGAUGAGUGAGGAAGAAAUGCUCAUAGUGAAAUCAAUACGUAUUUGCAAAUAAAAAGAGAAAAGGUCUUGAUAAAUUUGCCAGUGUGAACUAGAAACUCAAUUUGCAGUGGAUGUAAGCCUCUUUUUUCCUCCCACUGUUGGAUGAAUUUGUGGGGGAAGGAAUCAGGGUAGUUGCUGCUGCUGCUCCCACUCCUGGCCUCCAUGAGCUCAGCUGAUGUUUUACAGUGCUUGCACAUGUACAACAGCAUGCAAAUGGAGAGCGCUGUAGGGACAAGUGAAGAGAGAAAACCUGUUUCCAGUUUUAGGAGAGCCAGUGUGGUGUAGUGGUUAAGAGCAGUAGAUUAGUAAUCUGGGGAACCGGGUUCGCGUCUCUGCUCCUCCACAUGCAGCUGCUGGGUGACCUUGGGCCAGUCACACUUCUCUGGAGUCUCUCAGCCCCACUCACCUCCCAGAGUGUUUGUUGUGGGGAAGGAAGGGAAAGGAGAAUGUUAGCCGCUUUGAGACACCUUCGGGUAGUGAUAAAGCGGGAUAUCAAAUCCAAACUCUUCUCUUCUUCUUCUUCUUCUUCUUCUUCUUCUUCUGGGCAACUUGUACUCAUGCAUACAACUCAUUCAAACCUUCAAGUGACUUCAUGGAAACCAGGAGCCAGUGGCCCAUCUAGGCCAGCAUCCUGUUCUGACAGUGACUGUGGGAAACCUGCAACAGGACCCAAGUACAAGAGCAUACCCCGCACAUGUCCCGGGGGGGGGAUGGGACAUCCUGUUUUCUCAUGCGAGGGCACAGUGGCCAUUUUGUAGGCCGCCACUGCUUCCUACAGGAGUGAGUUCCACAGCUGAACUAUGUGCUGAGUGAAUGUCCACAAGAUCCAGUUUCAUGAGGGAAGGAGAAAAACUUUUCUCUGGACACUUUCUCUGUGCCAUGCAUAAUUUUUACAAACUUCUAUUUUGCCCCCAAUCAGUCCUGACUGCAGCAAUUCACCCAAAGUGAAGCUUUCAUCUCCAACUGAUUUAAACAGGAGAGACUGGUGGGAAUUUGGCUGGAUUGUGCCCUAUCUCAUCAGGUGCCCGGGCUGCACCUCUUGAAGCAUAAACUCUUGUGAUUCACCGCAGGACAAACAAUGUGAGAGCCAUGUGUAUGCUGCUACCUGGUGGCCCGGCAAAAGCAGCUCAAAUGUUGCUUUCUAGGUUGCCUUUUGUCCCUGUUCUCCCGCCUGAUUAUCUUCAGCACUAUUCCCUUUGAGACAAAGAUCACAGCUUCUUAUGUUUCUGCGUGGUUCUUAGUACAAUGGGACUUGGUCUUGAUUACAGUCUGCAGCAGGGUCAAGAAUAUAAAGGCACAAUGCAAAACAGGCACAAUAGCUGGAGUCUAGGGCCCACUGAGAAGAUGGCUUGUAAAGUCUAAGAUCUGAGCCUCUGAGAAUGAUUUUUAUGUCCUCAAUUACAAGAAGAGAAGAGUUGUUAUUCAAAGCUGUUGCCCCGGAGGACAGGAAAACAAAGAGGAAGGUAUGUGUGGGACCUGCUGACCUCAAUCAAUUGCCUGCUUUCUGGGAUAGCAGCAGCAUCCCUGAAAUCGAAACCCACCCUCCAAAAUCCAACUGACUUCCUGUCACCAGAACCUGGGGCAGAAGGUCAAGAUGAGAGGUGCGGAGUCAUGAGAAUGUUACCCAAAGACACCUCCUUAAAUUAAAAUAAGAAAAAAGAAAUCCACAGGAUGUGUUUUCUUUGCUAGGUUAUUUACAGAGCAAAAAGAUAACAUGGCGGCGAAUGGGUUUCGAGCUUUUCCAAAGCGUUUUUAAUCUAUUAAAGGAGCUGAAAUACUCUUAUCCGAAAGCAAUCUGAGCAGCCUCUACUUUCUGUGUUUUGUACUGUAGCAUAGCGAAGAGGGAACAGCAGGGAGCUCAGCUCCAGGGCUGUCUCUAGAACAGAGAAAUGGUGAUGUCAUCUGCCAGAGCACCACGGCAAUUGAUAGAACCUCCUUGCUCUGCUGGAGAUAACGAGGCUUUCAAGUUUGUGGCAGAUGAGCAUUGGGUGAAUGUGGAGAGUACGGAAAUUAAACAAGAAGACACUGGAUAGCUCUUUCUGUUUCUUAGAUGGGGUUCCUGCUUCACUGUUUCGCUCUUCACUGUUAGAAAUGCUAACAAUCUUGCAUAGAAAGACCAACUGAAAGACUAAAGAUUGCAUUUCAGCUGGCUUGAGAUCUUUUGUUAAAUCUCUUUUACAUGGUGAAUUUAUUCUAUGAACAUCUAUUCAGUGAAAGUCUUUGAUCCUAAUAAAUUUGAAAUUGUGUCCUGCACUGGGGCAGGGGCAGGAUGUAUGUGACUAUAGAUUAACACAGCCACUUGCAUUUUUUUUACUCUGAGAGGGGCUUGUCAGGAUGAAUUCCUGCACUUCAAAAUUUACCACUACACUACUCAUUCUGUAAUAUCCGUACAUAAGCUUGACGUUACGGGAAGUAAUUGUUUAUUCUAAUUCAGAUCCCCAAACACCCUGUUGAACAUUGUAGCUGCCAUGCUAGGCACACUUAGCUGGUAACAAGUUCAUUCUGAGUAGACAUCUGAGUAGCUUUUGAGUAGCCAUGCAUAGGGAUACACUGUAAAUUAACAUGCCUUGAAUUAGCUAGAGGAAGCUACAUUUUCACCUCACCCAUUCAUAAGCUAAACCAGGCUGAAAGCCCAUUUAUACACUUUUUUUACUAGAUAGGUGCUUAAAAUAAAUAAAAUUCUAGAUGUUUGGCACAAGCUUUUGCCUGAUGAGGUGCCUGAUAUAGCUCAAUACCUUUUGAACUGAAACAAGAGUUGGUGCUAUCAAAACAAUCUCUGCCUGCUACCCGUUUUUCUCCAGAAUAAGAAUAUGCAUUCUCCUUCACAAGGAAAAGGGACGCGGGUGGCGCUGUGGUUUAAACCACAGAGCCUAGGACUUGCCAAUCAAAAGGUCGGCGGUUCGAAUCCCCGUGACGGGGUGAGCUCCCGUUGCUCGGUCCCAGCUCCUGCCCACCUAGCAGUUUGAAAGCACAUCAAAAUGCAAGUAGAUAAAUAGGUACCGCUCCGGUGGGAGGGUAAACGGCAUUUCCGUGUGCUGCUCUGGUUCACCAGAAGCGGCUUAGUCAUGCUGGCCACAUGACCUGGAAGCUGUACGCCGGCUCCCUUGGCCAAUAAAGCGAGAUGAACGCCGCAACCCCAGAGUUGGUCAUGACUGGACCUAAUAGUCAGGGGUCCCUUUACCUUUACCUUCACAAGGAAAAGGUCUUUUGCUUAAUUCAAAUACACUUAAUUUGUAUGACAAAAUCAGCAUGCAUUACCAAUCUCUGAGGUAAGGACAAAUCCCAAAUGUUUUUCCUGGGCUGUGAAGAGUGGGAGAUGUUAUCCUACCCAUUAAAGAUUCGGAUAUUAACCUGAAAACUGCAAUCUUGGUCGUAGUCUACCAGGUUCAAAUCUGCCUCAUACUAAAGAUCUGCCUCAUGCUAAGACAGACCAUUGGUCAACCUAGUUUAAAGGUAAAAGGUAAUGGUACCCCUGCCCGUACAGGCCAGUCGUGUCUGACUCUAGGGUUGUGCGCCCAUCUCACUUAAGAGGCCGGGGGCCAGCGCUAUCCGGAGACACUUCCGGGUCACGUGGCCAGCGUGACGAAGCUGCUCUGGCAAGCCAGCACCAGCGCAGCACACUGAAACGCCAUUUACCUUCCCGCUAUAAAGCGGUACCUAUUUAUCUACUUGCACUUAGGGGUGCUUUCGAACUGCUAGGUGGGCAGGAGCUGGGACCGAAAGACGGGAGCUCACCCCGCCGUGGGGAUUCGAACCGCCGACCAUACGAUCGGCAAGUCCUAGGCACUGAGGUUUUACCCACAGCGCCACCCGCGUCCCUAACCUAGUUUAGAUUGGGGCAUUUCCCAAACCUACUUGGAGUCGCCAGGGAUUGAACCCAAGACCUUCUAUUUUCAAAAACAUGUUCACCUGAGCAUCUGAGAUCAAUGUGACAGGCAAUGCAGAGGUGGCAUUCCUUUCAUUCUGUUUAUUUUAAUUUUUGGUAAAUAGAUGGAGCACUUUUUCAUAUUCCAGUUAUUUGACACAAAGCUAAAAGACUGCACCAGUAUAUAAAAUUAAAUAUAUCCAUGACCACUAGUUACUCUGUCAUCUUAUUGACUGGCACAAAGUAAAGAGAGAAUGGAAAAGCCAUUAACUUAAUAUAUUAAGCAGUUUAGCAACCAUUUUAUCUGUGGAAAGUUUCGUUGCCUGUAAAGGAACCUGAAAUGAUUGUGAAACUAGACAAUUCUUAGUAGUCCUCCAAGGAUCAAGCUGCCAGAAAUUCCUAUCUUUUGCUAAACUCUCUUAACUUCAUUAUUUGUGAUGAGCUGGAAAGAAAUAUGACCAGUCGUUUUCAGAUAUUGGGUGUGUGUGUGUAGUUUUAUAGGUAUAAAAAUUUAAUACAUCAAGAUAGGAUGGUGACGUAUUCUGAGAUUUAGAAAGAAUUAAAUGAAAUUUACUUGGUUUUAGUAGUUUAGGUACCAUUAAGCAGAUACUUAAACAUUAAGUGCUGAUUAAGUGAGCUGACAGGUUAAUAACAAAGACUAAGGACUGUCUAUUAUCAAAUAUUUGUAAACCGCUUUUACAAUAUGAUUCAGGACUGAAACAGAUAAAGGACAACUAUGCACAAGAUAUAGGCAGAAUUAUCCCUGUUAAGUUGUGGGUGAACAUAUCAGACGACACAGCGAUUCUUCAAACAGCUCUUGUUUAUUCACAGGCCAGAACAGAACAGAACUGAACUGAAGGGUUCAGCCAGCCUGCUUAUAUAGAGCUCCACUAGAAUGCAACAGUAACAAUUUUCUGUAACUAGCCAAUCACUGAACGUCACUUUCAAUUCCUUAUUUGCAUAUGUGGACCUGAGUGAAAACUAUCUACAGUAUCCCCCUGCUGGCCCAGGGUGAGAACUUCAGUACAUAACAAUCCCAAUGGAUAUCUAGGAGACUAUAUGGGACAUGAUGCGUAGAUUUUCUUUAAAUUUCAUGUUAAGAGGAGAUUGCUACACAGUAGUGUUGAAAUAGUAACUCUCACUCGUAAUAAUAAAGUAAAUAUUUUAUUUCCAUAUGUUGGAAAGAAAUGGACAUGCAAGAUUAUCACAUUACUACUUACUCUCACAUUACUAAUUACUCUCAGCACCCUUAACAAUCUACAGUUCCCAUAAUUCUUUGGAGCAGCAUGGAGAUGGGACCAGCAGGGGCUACAAUGGCAGGGGUGGGGCCAGAGUACAUGACCCUACUCUCUCUUCUCAAAAAGAAACACCCAAGUAGGUCUUAAUUUAGGCUGCAAUCUGUGAACACAGACCUGGGGAGUAAGUCCCAUUGUACACAGUGGAAAUUGCUUCUGGCAAACAUGCCGAGGAUUGUACUGUUGUUAUGGAUCCAACCCACUGUGUUAACCCUGAGAUCUUCAGUGGAAAUGAUCAGGAUUUCCUCUACAUAUAGUCUUCUACACACACACCAAACUUGAGUAUGGAUCCUGUUUUCAUAUUGGAUACCUGUAAGUCAACAGAGAAUGCAUGCCCUUAAGGCUAUGGGUUGCAUCCCAUUCUGGUCCUACUCAGAGAAGACCUGUUGAAAUUAUAGAUAUAGCUAAUUUAGGUUCAUUAAUUUCAGUGGAUCUCCCUCAAGUGGGACUAGCUUUGGAUACAAUCCAAAGUGCUCCUGGAGCUUCCAAAGGUUAGAAUUUGUCAUUCUGCUUGGACUUGACCCUGAAGGUCCUCUCUCUGGGACCAUGACAAUGUCAAGUUCCCAUGCUUGGUACCACAGAACACAAAACAGACACUUAAUAUAAUAUGACACCUAUGUUCCUACUUUAGCAGCUGAGAUACAAUUCCAAAUGAAUGGAGUGCAGCUGCUGAUAAACACACAGUCUGCACACUGCAGACACCUCAUCUUGAGAACCUCUGGAAAUAAUCAAGAAACCUGAAGUACUCCAUGCCUUUAUAUCAAAACGGCAAAGGCUUAGCGUUACUGACAGCCAUCUACUAAAGGUGCCUACAUAAUUUCUGUGGCUCAAAUAGCUGAGACAGGUCUGUCUGAGCAGAUUUGGCUGAGGGUUACGACUGCGACUCGGAACUAAUGUGUAUGGAUGAGGGAAGAGUCAAACAUGAAAUCAUUCUGAUCAAAGGGAGAUUUCUUCAAGGGAAGGUCAGUCUGCCCCCCCCCAAAAAAAAGAACAAAAAAAACCACCAAAAUGAGGAUUGAAAACAGGCUCCUUUGCAGACAUGGAUUCUUUCGUGCACCACAUUUCUCAGGAACAUCUAAUCUACAUAAAACCAUAAAAAGAAACUCACUGGUUCAGUUUCAUAUCUCGUAUUGUAUUCUGUAUGUAUACUGGUAGCCAAUCAGAUGCUUCUGGGAUGCUGACAAGCAGAGUGUCAAGAAAACAGCCCUCCUGGUGUUUCUCCCAUCAUCUGGUACUCACAGCUGUGCUGCUUUUGGACAGGGACAUUGGUGGCUUUGGUACACACUGGGGGGAAGCCAUAGCUCAGUAGGAGAGCAUAUGCUUUGCAUUCAGAAGGUCCCAGGUUUAAUCCCCAGCAGCUCCUGGGAGGGCUGGGAAAGGCUCUGGUCUGAAACUCCAGGGAACUGCCUCUGGUCUGCGUAGACCAGGUUUCCCUAACCAAGCGCUCUCCAUAUGUUAUUGGACUACAACUCCCACCAUCCCUGACCACUGCCCAGGCUGACUGGGGCUGCUGGGAACUGGAGGCCAUUAAGUGAGGGCAGCCUACUGUAAACACAACUGAGAUAGAUAGAGUAAUGGCCGGGCUUGAUAUAAGGCGAGUUCUGAUGGGCUGUAUCAAACACUACAGAUUCAGAAGCUGAGCUUGUACAAUGCGUUUUCCCCUCUCUUGAAGUCUCCCCACGUCACAGCUCUCUCUAGGGAUUUGGGAGGCCUAUUCAAUAUUGGUGCAAAUUUCCUGCACUAAAUUUUGGGUGUUCCCCACUUCACCCAUUGCAGCUCUGGGUGGCACAGCCCAGAGUGCCUCUAACCCUAUGAAGAGCCUUUUUAGGGGCUGCAAGGGGGAAGGGGGAAGGGGAAGAUCUGUUGGGCUAUUUGCCUUCUACUCAUGCAAUGUUUUUCUUGGGAGAAAAGCAAUGACAAACCUAGACAGCAUCUUAAAAAGCAGAGACAUCACCUUGUCAACAAAGGUCCGUGUAGUUAAAGUUAUGGUUUUCCCAGUAGUGAUGUAUGGAAGUGAGAACUGGACCAUAAAGAAGGCUGAUUGCCGAAGAAUUGAUGCUUUUGAAUUAUGGUGCUGGAGGACACUCCUGAGAGUCCCGUGGACUGCAAGAAGAUCAAACCUAUCCAUUCUUAAGGAAAUCAGCCCUGAGUGCUCACUGGAAGGACAGACCUGAAGCUGAGGCUCCAGUACUUUGGCCACCUCAUGAGAAGAGAAGACUCCCUGGAAAAUACCCUGAUGUUGGGAAAGAUGGAGGGCACAAGGAGAAGGGGACGACAGAGGAUGAGAUGGUUGGACAGUGUUCUUGAAGCUACCAGCAUGAGUUUGACCAAACUGCGGGAGGCGGUGGAGGACAGGAGUGCCUGGCAUGCUCUGGUCCAUGGGGUCACGAAGAGUCGGACAUGACUAAAUGACUAAACAACAACAACAUGCAAUGUUGGAUGCCACUGAACAUUGCACUUCACAGAAACACAAAAGCACUUCUCUGAAUUCUGCAGUGCACUUCUCCAGCCAAGUAAUCUGUACAAAAGUGCAUAUGCUAGUGUGCAUUAAAGUGUGCAUUAAAAGGCACAUUUUGUUGGAAAUAUAUUAUAUUGAGAGAAAUUGCUUUGCAAUAAUGUGCACAUUGGGAGAAAAUUGCACAAAAAUGAUGAUGAAUUCUCAUGUGGACUUAAAAAUAAAUAAAAUCACAAUCUGAUAUAGAAACCUGGAGAAUGGAAUUUAAGACCAGAAAAGUGAGAAGUGGAAAGAAACUGAAAUGGAUAUACGCAUCCAUGCCAAAAAACUUUGCUCCACCCAAGGGAGUAGCAAGGGGGUGCAGUAGGUGCAGUUCGCCCUGGGUGUCCCCACUGAGGGGGGUGACAAAAUGGUGGGUGGCACUCAUUGCGGGGCCUGCAGCGUGCCCAAGCCACACAUCUCUCCUGGGAGUGACACAGUGACUUGAGCAACUGCAGGCUCCUCGCUUGCCCCAAACAGUCUGCCUACUGCCUCCCCCUCAGCUGUAGGGCAGCUGAGUGGGAGGGGGGAGGCAGACUCCUCGGAGGCCCCACGGUGCCCCCAUGGGUGGCUGCCCCAGGUGCCCAAUCGGCUUGCUCUGACUCUGGUUCCACCCACUUUUGCCUCUGGCCCUGCACACCACUGAAAUGUGGCCCCUGGGAGUGUUGGUUGCCCAUGAUGGAAUGCAGCCCUUGGUCUGCAAAAAGGUUCCCCAUCACCACCAUAGAGGAAAAUUGAUCAUGAGGCUGCAGCCAGUGUAAAACUGGGCUGGUAUCAAAGUCCAGCAGCCCAAUGGAUCUGCUUGGAUUACAGGUGAAACUGUUUUAACCCUAAAGCACCGUUCCUUCUGCCUCGAGAGAUAAAUGGUGUUGUUCAUGCUUAAUGGAGAGCACGGCGAGUUUCCUAGGGCAUUGCGAGCGCUGCGUGAUUAGUAUAACAAAUGUUGCAUUUCAGACAUAUACACAAUGGGCAAAGGAUAAUCUUUGGGUGCACUGCAGGAAGAUAGCAACGAGCGGAUAUAGCAUGAUAGGAAACGGCAUGUCUGUGAAACAGUUCAUUUGUCUCCGUCCAUACAAAGGACUAGGGAUAUGUGGCCUGCGUACGUCAGGGAUCACUCGCCCACAGAUGACAACCCAGAUAAGAACUGCAGUGGCGAUAAAAACAUAAAAUGAGUUUAUGUAGACAAAGCCCGAGGCCCAGAUAAUGUGCAUCCACGGAGCUGUGACGGCUUAGACAGUGAGGAACCUUUUAAUGGCAUUUUUAAAAGUGCACUAGAUUUGAGGGAAGAGGUCCCAAAGAUUACAGAGCAGCAAGAUUGAUUCGAAUACAUGUUAACGGGCCUCGAGGCAGGAAACUAUAAACUAGCAAAUGUAACAUUGUUUGCAAAGAAACCUGGAAACUAUUUAAAGUGGUUUGUCCGAAGGAAGAACACCUGGAGAGUAAGCAGUUUAAUAUAUAUAACUUGUGGGUUUUUCUUUUUAAAAAUAAAAAAGUUGCUCCUCUUGUGGGCAAAUUCUUGUCUUGGACAUUUAAAGCUUAACAGUAUACCGAUAUGCUACAGUUAAUUGUGGAAAACAGAGGCUUUGCCCAAUGCAAAUUUGUGCACUUUGCUGAACUGUUCAAAAUGUGUUUUCAUCGCCAUGGUGACAGGGGAAGUGUUUAUUUGUGAAUGCACUUCCCAUCUGUACACACAAGGGACUGCAGAUCCAGUAUGAAAAAAUGAGGCCUAAAGGUACUCUGUAGCUCACAUGAAUCCUGGGACACUCACUCACUGGUCAGUGAACAGAGCACUGAAGGAGCAUGUAUUCAUUAUGAAUUCCUUCUUCUGGAACAGAUUUUGCAUCAAUACAUCCUGCACAAAUACAUAUCCCAAUGGAUUUAAUACGGUUUGCCUAUGCACACAUGCAGACACACAAGUAUUCAUGUGUGGCGAAAGGUGACUGUUGAGAUUGGAUUGAGAAAUCCUUGGGCUAUGGGAUUAUGAAAUGGCAAAUAAAAUUAGCAAGGGCAGACGCAAUGAUACAAAUUCCUCAGUCGUAUUUGGGCCUUCUGAAUGGGACUCAAGAAAACAUGCAAACAGGGCAGAGUGUACCUAGCCUCACUGCCUCCACCUCAUUAUCAGCAGUGUGGGUUCAAGGGUGAUGUUAGCAGCAGGGAAGCCUCUUCCCUUCUGCUGUGUUUGUUUAAACUUGAUUCAGACCACCAGAGAAAGGCACAUUAGAGAGAGAGAGAGAGAGAGAAUCAUUGAGGAAGGACAGAGCAAGGACUUCUAUCCACCCCCAGGGGUGCCAACUCCAGGGGACCCUGUCUCCUGUAAGGCUUUCCAACAGAGGAUUGCUCUAUGGCACAAAGUACCUUGCUUUUAUUUAUGUGAAUUCCAUCUAACACCAUUUGCCAGUGUGGUGUAGUGGUUAAGAUUAGUAAUCUGGUGAACUGGGUUCGCGUCUCCGCUCCUCCACAUGCAGCUGCUGGGUGACCUUGGGCCAGUCACACUUCUUGAAGUCUCUCAGCCCCACUCACCUCACAGAGUGUUUGUUGUGGCGGAGGAAGGGAAAGGAGAAGGUUAGCCGCUUUGAAACUCCUUCGGGUAGUGAUAAAGCGGGAUAUCAAAUACAAACUCUUCUUCUCUUCUUCUGCUCCACAUUUCCUGCCUGUCUAAGUAGAGGUCCUGUUUCACUCAGAUUUUCCCCUAAGUCUUGCAGGGCUUUCCUCUCCCUUGAUCCUCGCAGGCUCCCUCCCCAGCCUGCUCAGAUCCUUAUUAAGGCUCCUCAGCUCUCCUGACGCUGUUCGCUCCAUCUUCUUUGCCAACACAGCCCAGGGCUGGCUGCCCUGUGGCUUCAGCAUCAGCAGGUGGUGGCUGGAUGCCAUAGGGCAAGGGAGCAAGAUCAAAGGGAGGUCAAUCCCUGACCGUACAUUGCAGAUAACAUCUGAAGUCAGCAGCUCCCUCUCUGAAGGAUGUCAUGUUGGAAGAGCAAAGAGCGCUAUAUGAGUUCUGGAUCCUUCUCGCCUUUCACCAGUCUGGAUGCCAGAGGCUGGACGCCAACAAAGAAAGAAAGAAACACACCGUUUUCUUAUGGAAAUAUAUUACCCAGGAGGACUGAAACCAAACUGGUAAAACACUUACAGUAGUAUUACUAAAACAUCGCUGCAUUGUCAUUAGCUCAGCAAUGCAUUUCCAGAAGGACUCUUUUAAUGGAGUAAAAGGAAUUGUCCAAAUAUUUAGGGGCAGCUAUAGACUUGCAGGGGGAGGGCCUUUUUCAGCAUGAAAGCUGCAUUUCCUUCUGGAUUACAUUCUUGGGGGGGCACAUGCAAAUCCUGGGGAGUGUGAGAGGCAAGCAUAGACACAGCAGCAAAUGAGAUUUUUCCCUUUUUACAGUAGGAUAGUUUCUUCUCUCUCCCCCCCCCCCACCCCACCCACCCAGGCCUCAUUUGAUCUCCAAGAUUCCCCAUACCUGUUAUAGACAGCCACAUAUGAUGCAGAACAUUCACAGCUUUCAGGGUAUUUUCACAUACCCCACAAGUGUCCUGGAAAAACCAGGGUAUCCCAUUCCACCUGCCCCGCCCCCCACCAAGAACGCGGCAGCCCUUUUGCCCGAUUUUGUGCUGAAAUCUCUCCCCCUCCCCCAAGUGCUUUUUUCUGGGCUUGUGAUCUUACGUGGCUCCCCAAAACACACAUUUUUAGAUGACAUGAGAUCAUGCCCCCCCCCCAAUUCAUCUUUUGGGCUCUGUGGUCUCACACAGGUCACAUGACUUGUGCAGGAGCACAGACAGGAAAACGCAUGUCCCAGUUUUGGGACUCAACAUGUUGGAGGGUUUGUUUCCAUAGCAUUUAUUUCUAAAUUGAUUUUGCAAAUAGCUGCACUAAUUCUUCCAAGUGUCUUUCUGGCAUCAGUUCCAGGCCUUAACCUUUGAAGGCCUCAACAGCUUGGAACUGGGGGUGGAAUUCAGCAUCAUACGAUUACAGUUGGUCCAUCAGUGCAAGCAUUUCUGCCUUCCCCCCCUCUUCCCCCCCCCUCAGUGCAUUGUUCUGGGGGUUCUCCUCUCCAGAUCUGGGUGAGGCAUGCAGGGGGAGAAGAGUGGGGAAAGCCCUGUUGCGUUAGUGGGAGUCUUUGUGAUGGCUUCCAUUAGCACACUGGGAUAGAUGCAUCGGGUCCCUGGACACAUGAAAGAACCACGUUCCCCAGCAUGAAUGUCUCCAAAGCCCUAUCAGGAUUCUCCCAGCAAAUGAAAUCAGGUGAUUGGCAGCCAUCUCAGGAACUGAACCUCCAUUUAAGGAAUGCACUUUCCUGACAAUUAAUCAGGAGGCAAAUUUAAGUGAUUUUGUUCACUGAGGCUUUUACCAGUUCUUAGAAUUUGUAAUGGUACACUUUUACUGCUGCCACUAUUUUGAAUGUUGAUGGCAUUGUUUAAAAUUAUCCUAUGCUUUUAAGGUUUGUUUGGGUUUCUUUAGAUCAUCUUACUUAUGGACUUGUACCCCUGCUGCCAUUUGCUUCUGUACUUUUAUUGGCUUUUUUAUUGACGUUUAAUGUUUGAUGUCAGCCACUCAGAAAACUCUGGUUUUUAUGGGGCAGCACAGAAAUGAUGCAGUUGGGUUUGGUUUUUUUUGGGGGGGGGUGUUAAGUGCUGCUAUUUUUCUUCUUCUUGCUGGUCUCGGCUUUUGUACAUUAAUUUGUGCAACUGUCUAUUUUUAUAGACAAUCAAUAUUUUAAAUUAAAAAAUACUAACCAAAUUCUCUACUACAAUUUCCCAUCCCCACAUAAUGGAUAAUAUGACCAGCCUUGCUGUGGGAAUACUGCCCUUGUGGCCACUUACGACUGUACUUAAACAUUUGUACACAUCAGAGCUGGCAGAUAGAACACACAACAACCAGGUGAUCACAUCUCCUCUUACUAAGCCAAGAUAUGCACAAAACCAUUACUCACAUGCACAACCUCUUUGCUUCUCCCUUCACUGCAACCUGCGAUUAAAUCAGGAAGUCUCUAAUGUACUAUAGCUUCCUGUUGCAGCUUAACUAAGAAACUAUGGCUAUCAUCAUUGGAUAUUAAACCAACUUCAAGCAAUUUGUAAUAACCUGACUUGUUCUAAAACUGGCAACCAUAGUUUCUUGCUUCGAAUGAAACAGGAAACUAUGGUUAAUAAAAAGGCUUCCUGGUUUAGUUGUGCUCUCCAGCAAAUGGGGGAGCAAAGGGGUUCUGUGUUUGAACAAAGGGCUACAUCAUAGCCUGAUAUGUUGAUCUAAGUCCAAAUGUAACCAGUCAGUCUGGAACUUCGAAAUCCCUCAAAUGGUGGAACAAUGCAUGGCAAGGGCACAGCUUUGUGGCUUUAGUGUGGGAUAAGUGUUCCAGUGCUGUGAUAGGAUAUUAGGCAAGAGCUAGCUAUUAAAGGUACUCCCCCCCCCACACACAAAGAAAUUAAACCUGCAUCUAUGGAUUCCUUGAACGCAAUGGCUGGUUCACACGUGUAUUUGCAUUGCUUCUUCCUCAGCAUUCGAUGACAGUCAGCUGAAAGUGGCAGUGAGGUCGUAGCCUUGCAUUAAUGAAGGACACAUUAUGAAGUCUUUGUUGCCUGCGGAUAUUAGACUCGC